rnacentral:rRNA from 1 species
UAAGACAGAGGGUGCAAGCGUUGUUCGGAAUUACUGGGCGUAAAGAGUUUGUAGGCGGUGGAGUGUGUUUGGUGUGAAAGCCCUAGGCUAAACCUAGGAAGUGCAUCGAAAACUACUUCACUAGAGUGUGAGAGAGGAUGGCGGAAUUCCCAGAGUAGAGGUGAAAUUCGUAGAUACUGGGAGGAACACCAGAGGCGAAGGCGGCCAUCUGGCUCACAACUGACGCUGAGAAACGAAAGCGUGGGGAGCAAACAGGAUUAGAUACCCUGGUAGUCCACGCCGUAAACGAUGUUCACUAGAUGUUGGAGGAAUUGACCCCAUCAGCGUCGCAGCUAACGCAAUAAGUGAACCGCCUGGGGAGUACGGUCGCAAGACUA